AUUGAACGCUGGCGGCAGGCCUAACACAUGCAAGUCGAGCGGAGCGGCGGACGGGUGAGUAAUGCCUAGGAAUCUGCCUGGUAGUGGGGGAUAACGUCAGGAACCGGGCGCUAAUACCGCAUCCUAUCAGAUGCGCCUAGGUCGGAUUAGCUAUUGGGGGGGGGAAAGGCCUACCAAGGCGACGAUCCGUAACUGGUCUGAGGGGAUGAUCAGUCAAACUGGAACUGAGACACGUUCCAGACUCCUACGGGAGGCAGCAGUGGGGAAUAUUGGACAAUGGGCGAAAGCCUGAUCCAGCCAUGCCUCGUGUGUGAAGAAGGUCUUCGGAUUGUAAAGCACUUUAAGUUGGGAGGCGUUACCAACAGAAUAAGCACCGGCUAACUCCGUGCCAGCAGCCGCGGUAAUAC
rnacentral:rRNA from 1 species